AAUCCCCGACACGGGGAGGUAGUGACAAUAAAUACUGAUACAGGGCUCUUUUGGGUCUUGUAAUCGGAAUGAGUACAAUUUAAAUACCUUAACGAGGAACAAUUGGAGGGCAAGUCUGGUGGACAUUCAGCUCCCAUUCUGCUGACGCCAGAGAUAGCCGGGCGCCCCCCCUCCCAGCGAGGGGGGUCGUUACGCCGGCUAGUCGAUGUAUCCGCUACCGUGAUGGGGGGAUACCGGCAAGACAACCUGGAUCGGGGAAGGCUAAGGUGCAUUCGUGCGCUAUGCUAAUCCCGAGCAGAGCUUUCGUGGAGCGAUCCACGAUCAUAGCCUGUGUAGAGCGCGCAAAGGUGUCGGUCGACUCACGCAGUCGGCUUAAGGGACGUGCCAUUCCCACCCGAAAGGGUGGCUGACAGCAGGAGCGCCCAUCACGCAAAUGCAUGUCAGGCUCCCCCCCCACCCGGGGGAGCAGAUCUGUAAGGCCAGCAGCCGCGGUAAUUCCAGCUCCAAUAGCGUAUAUUAAAGUUGUUGCAGUUAAAAAGCUCGUAGUUGAACCUUGGGCCUGGCUGGCCGGUCCGCCUCACCGCGUGUACUGGUCCGGCCGGGCCUUUCCUUCUGGAGAACCGCAUGCCCUUCACUGGGUGUGUCGGGGAACCAGGACUUUUACUUUGAGAAAAUUAGAGUGUUCAAAGCAGGCCUUUGCUCGAAUACGUUAGCAUGGAAUAAUAGAAUAGGACGUGCGGUCCUAUUUUGUUGGUUUCUAGAACCGCCGUAAUGAUUAAUAGGGAUAGUCGGGGGCGUCAGUAUUCAAUUGUCAGAGGUGAAAUUCUUGGAUCUAUUGAAGACUAACUACUGCGAAAGCAUUCGCCAAGGAUGUUUUCAUUAAUCAGUGAACGAAAGUUAGGGGAUCGAAGACGAUCAGAUACCGUCGUAGUCUUAACCGUAAACUAUGCCGACUAGGGAUCGGGCGAUGUUUUUUUAUUGACUCGCUCGGCACC
rnacentral:rRNA from 1 species